rnacentral:rRNA from 1 species
CACGUAGGGCGCAAGCGUUGUCCGGAAUUAUUGGGCGUAAAGAGCUCGUAGGCGGUCUGUUACGUCUGCUGUGAAAACCCGGGGCUUAACCCUGGGCUUGCAGUGGAUACGGGCAGACUAGAGGCAGGUAGGGGAGAAUGGAAUUCCCGGUGUAGCGGUGAAAUGCGCAGAUAUCGGGAGGAACACCGGUGGCGAAGGCGGUUCUCUGGCCUGACCUGACGCUGAGGAGCGAAAGCGUGGGGAGCAAACAGG